rnacentral:rRNA from 1 species
GACGAACGCUGGCGGCGUGCCUAAUACAUGCAAGUAGAACGCUGAAGGAGGAGCUUGCUUCUCUGGAUGAGUUGCGAACGGGUGAGUAACGCGUAGGUAACCUGCCUGGUAGCGGGGGAUAACUAUUGGAAACGAUAGCUAAUACCGCAUAACAGUAGAUAUCGCAUGAUAUCUACUUGAAAGGUGCAAUUGCAUCACUACCAGAUGGACCUGCGUUGUAUUAGCUAGUUGGUGAGGUAACGGCUCACCAAGGCGACGAUACAUAGCCGACCUGAGAGGGUGAUCGGCCACACUGGGACUGAGACACGGCCCAGACUCCUACGGGAGGCAGCAGUAGGGAAUCUUCGACAAUGGACGGAAGUCUGACCGAGCAACGCCGCGUGAGUGAAGAAGGGUUUCGGAUCGUAAAGCUCUGUUGUAAGAGAAGAACGAGUGUGAGAGUGGAAAGUUCACACUGUGACGGUAUCUUACCAGAAAGGGACGGCUAACUACGUG